rnacentral:rRNA from 1 species
AUACGGAGGGUGCAAGCGUUAAUCGGAAUUACUGGGCGUAAAGCGUACGUAGGCGGUCCGUUAAGUUAGAUGUGAAAGCCCCGGGCUUAACCUGGGAACUGCAUUUAAAACUGGCGAACUAGAGUUGAGUAGAGGGGAGUGGAAUUUCAGGUGUAGCGGUGAAAUGCGUAGAGAUCUGAAGGAACACCAGUGGCGAAGGCGACUCCCUGGACUCGAACUGACGCUGAGGUACGAAAGCGUGGGUAGCAAACGGGAUUAGAAACCCCUGUAGUCC